CGGGCAGGCACCUCGCCAACCCGGUCAGGUCCGGAAGGAAGCAGCCGUAACGAGCCCCGCUUGGGUCGUUGUCCAGCCUC
rnacentral:SRP_RNA from 2 species